ACUGGAGGUGCGUAGGUCUAGAAGGAAGAAGGGAAGGACACAACACAAGACAUGGUUCGGACCUCGAUCCCGAUUCGUUUUAGGUCCGCUCGAGAGAGAGAGAGAGACACGACCAGGGAGCAAUGUGGUCUACGCGGGAGGGGGAAGGUUGAAGAUGGAGAGAGAGAGGCCGAAGGCCGCAACUGCGUAGUCACGGGUCUUAGGUUGAGUACACCAGGUGGCCGCCGAGCGGUGCUAACGCAGGUGGAUCGCUGCGCCGCGACAUCGAGGCCCCUAUAGCUACUAACGCCGACUAAUCCUCGGUUGGUAGGAGAAAAAUGACUAUUUCCUAGGUACCGCUGACCUUUUUAUCUGCUCCCCUUUAUACAAACAUGUUAGAUAUACAGUUCGUGUUCUACCUAGUUAACGAAGUAAUCUAUUUUCUUUGUCGUGUGGGACGGUUGUUAUACUAUUAAGAGCAACACAGUUGUAUAUAAGUCCUUGUAUGAAAGGUCUCCAUAUGAGAUUAUUACACCAUGAACAUAACGUUCACUUCGUACUCGACUUAUCCAUUUAGCAUUCCCAUUUUCAAAUAGGAGUCGACCACGUCGUUCUAACCUUUAUCUGUUUGCUCGUCACACUAAUAUUUGUAAAAAGUACGAAAGGUUCAUUUUUUCUUUCAAAGGUAUACUGACAGUCAUGAACACAUACUAGUUCAAUUAUGGACCCUAAAUAC
rnacentral:rRNA from 1 species